rnacentral:rRNA from 1 species
AUUGAACGCUGGCGGCGUGCUUAAAAAAUGCAAGUCGAUCGGUAACGCGGGGGCAACAUUGGCGACGAGAGGCGGACGGGUGAGGAACGCCUGGGAAUCUGAACAUCAGCGGGGGACAAAACGGGGAAACGCGUGCUAAUACUGCAUACGCACUGCGGAGGAAAGCUGGGGGACGCAAGGGCUGGCACAGAUAGAUACGACCAAGCCGGAUUAGCUAGUUGGCGGGGGAACGGCCAACCAAGGCGACUGUCCGUGGCGGGUCUGAGAGGACGAUCAGCCACACUGGAACUGAGACACGGUCCAGGCUCCUACGGGAGGCAGCAGUGGGGAAUAUUGGACAAUGGGGGAAACCCUGAUCCAGCUACGCCGCGUGGGUGAAGAAGGCCUGCGGGUUGUAAAGCCCUUUCGGUAGGGACGAAAGCUCUCGACCUAACACGUCGGGAGGUUGACUUAACCUACAGAAGAAGCACCGGCUAACUCUGUGCCAGCAGCCGCCGCGGUAA